rnacentral:rRNA from 1 species
UGGGGAAUAUUGGACAAUGGGCGCAAGCCUGAUCCAGCCAUGCCGCGUGAGUGAUGAAGGCCCUAGGGUUGUAAAGCUCUUUCACCGGUGAAGAUAAUGACGGUAACCGGAGAAGAAGCCCCGGCUAACUUCGUGCCAGCAGCCGCGGUAAUACGAAGGGGGCUAGCGUUGUUCGGAUUUACUGGGCGUAAAGCGCACGUAGGCGGACUAUUAAGUCAGGGGUGAAAUGCCGGGGCUCAACCCCUGAACUGCCUUUGAUACUGGUAGUCUUGAGUUCGAGAGAGGUGAGUGGAAUUCCGAGUGUAGAGGUGAAAUUCGUAGAUAUUCGGAGGAACACCAGUGGCGAAGGCGGCUCACUGGCUCGAUACUGACGCUGAGGUGCGAAAGCGUGGGGAGCAAACAGG